GAUCACAAACUUGUUAGUCUCAUGUCACUGCAGGUUGUUUGUGGAAACAGGAAGAGUACCUGGAUCUCUUCACUGUUAGUCCCAUGCAUGGGUCACCACACUAGACACUUCUGUGCCUUAAAUUUCCUGUGUACCACAAACUGGCUGCAGGGCUGCUGUCUCCAUACAUUCUUAUACAGAACUCAAGGAGCUAUAUGCUUUCCCAGUGUGAGAAACUAUGCUUCUUCUUCAGAAAAGCUCACCUAACAAGGGCAAGCUGCAACAUGGAAGUUGGAGAGAAGACUAAAUAGAGGAUGCUGGACAAGUUAACAGCAAACUGGACUCUGAGACUAACUUGAAUAUGGAAAGGUUGCCUAACAUUGAUUGGUGUAUGAGGAUACAAAACAAAUGGCUGGAAUUAUAUUUGAACAUGGCUUAAUUCUCUACUUGAGGAGACAGUGGAAGAAGAGAAGUUAGAGACGUGCUGCCUGGUUUAAUCAUUGUAAAAAACAGUGCAAUCCCUCUGGGCCCUCUGUCAUUGGUUAGCAGCAUUAAUGAUUCUGAACAGCAAACCCACAUUUAUGGGUUCUUUUGUCUCAAAGUUGUGCAACUUACCUCACUUCAGAUGAGUCAUGAUUUCAUUUGAUAAUAGAAUGUAACUUGAGACAUAAUUGCAGAGAAAAGAAGAAAACCUGUG